UACAGAGGGUGCAAGCGUUGUUCGGAAUUAUUGGGCGUAAAGAGCUCGUAGGCGGUUUGUCGCGUCUGCCGUGAAAGUCCGGGGCUCAACUCCGGAUCUGCGGUGGGUACGGGCAGACUAGAGUGAUGUAGGGGGAGACUGGAAUUCCUGGUGUAGCGGUGAAAUGCGCAGAUAUCAGGAGGAACACCGAUGGCGAAGGCAGGUCUCUGGGCAUUAACUGACGCUGAGGAGCGAAAGCUAGGGGAGCGAAUGGG
rnacentral:rRNA from 1 species